rnacentral:tRNA from 1 species
CUGUAGCUUAGCCAGGUAGAGCGACGGACUUUUAAUCCGUUGGCCGGGGGUUCAAAUCCCCUCAGG